rnacentral:tRNA from 4 species
GCGGGUAUAGCUUAAUGGUAAAGCCCCAGCCUUCCAAGCUGGCCAUAAGGGUUCGAUUCCCUUUACCCGCUCCA